rnacentral:lncRNA from 1 species
CGACAUAGAAGUUUCUGAUUUCAAACUUUACAGACAUCAACCUCAAAACAAGCUCAAGCACAUUUGCACACUGGCUUCAACAGGCCAGGACAAACCUGAAACUUUCUUGAUGCUACUGAAAUUUCCUUGCGUUAGUUCUCCACCACGUAUACAGGUGAUCAUAAACCUUCUAGCAUUUAAACUAAGCAAGUGAAAAGGAAAAUUUAUACAACACUAGAGCGGGACCUAAUAGAUAAUGAUAAGAAGCCAAAUAACUCAUAUGAGUCUAUGAGAAACAUGAAAACGAAAUACAAUAGAUUUUUUAAACUGGUAACACAACAGAGAAUGGGAAAAAAUCAAUUCCUUCGACUUGAAUUACACAACUUCACCAUAGCAUCCAUAACAAAUUUCAUUUCCAUCUAUGGUUUGAAGUAAAAUACCUGGUAAUGAACUAGGGAAAACCCAAAGAACUGAAGGAUCAACAACAAACAAUAUCACAAAUCAGCCUAGAUUCAACCAAUAAAAUAGUGAAAUCAGCUCAAGAAAAAUCAAUGGAACAAUAGAGGGAAUCCAAAACCAAUUCCAAACCAAAGCUCAAGCCAUUUCACUAACCAUAUGCACAAUCUUGGAGGUUUUUCAGAAAUUCUAGACGAACAGAAGAUUCAAAGACCCAAAACCAAGAAAUCAACUGUCUAGUUCAAACAAUUUUUAGCAUUUUCUCGGAACUUUCAGAAGGAAAUUAACUGAUUUUGAAAUCAGUAUUUCUUUUUAUCUUUUUA